UCUCCCGCGCAACCACGGCCGGUGCCCAAAUUCCGGUUCGCUGAAUUACAUAAUUUUAAUUUAUCUAAUUAUUAGCCGUUUAAACUGUCAUCUUCUUUGCUCCUUUAGAAGUAUUUCAUCAAUUCGAGACGAAGAUUUAACCGCAGGGCCAACGAAAAUCAAGAAGAAGCCAUGGGAAGUGCGGAGAAACCGAAAUUCUGAGUGGAUCUUUAAGUGUAGGAAAGAGUUAGUUUGUCUGCAUGUAGUCAUGCUGUGAUAAUGAGGCCAAUUUCAUCAUUUUGAAAGCUCCCCUAGACCUUCCUGCGAAUUGACAGAUUUAAAAACAUAUCAAAAUGGCGCUAGAGCCACUGGAUAUCUCUGAGCAUGAUCGUUGCUCUUCAAAGCAACCAAUUUAUCCAAACUGGCCUCCAUAGAUUUGUCGCAGGAGGACAGGUCAAGAGUUGAAAUAUUUGCUGAGUAUUGUUCUAAGAAGCGAGAACCUGUUUGCGGUCAGUUUUUGAACUUGUUAAAUGGAUCUGAUGGAUUCAUUGUGAAUAUGUCUGCCAGAAUAAUCGCCAAGAUUGCCUGUUGAAACCCAUCUGCCAAUUUACUUGACAGCUCUGAUUUCACUUUUACCUGAAUUGGUUGAAUGGACAAGUAUAAUUAAAUGAGAGGACUUCUUUUUGUCGGGAGAUGCUU